rnacentral:rRNA from 1 species
ACGAGAAAGGGUAGCAAUACCUGAGUAAAGUGGCGCACGGGUGAGUAACACGUGACUAACCUACCCUUGAGUGGGGGAUAACUGAGGGAAACCUUAGCUAAUACCGCAUAAUACCCACGGGUCAAAGGAGCAAUUCGCUCGAGGAGGGGGUCGCGGCCGAUUAGUUAGUUGGCGGGGUAAUGGCCCACCAAGACGAUGAUCGGUAUCCGGCCUGAGAGGGCGCACGGACACACUGGAACUGAAACACGGUCCAGACUCCUACGGGAGGCAGCAGUGGGGAAUUUUGCGCAAUGGGGGAAACCCUGACGCAGCAACGCCGCGUGGAGGAUGAAGUCCUUCGGGACGUAAACUCCUUUCGAUCGGGACGAUUAUGACGGUACCGGAAGAAGAAGCCCCGGCUAACUUCGUGCCAGCAGCCGCGGUAAUACGAGGGGGGCGAGCGUUGUUCGGAAUUAUUGGGCGUAAAGGGUGCGUAGGCGGUUUGGUAAGUCUUGUGUGAAAUCUCUGGGCUCAACUCAGAGUCUGCACGAGAAACUGCCGGGCUUGAGUGUGGGAGAGGUGAGUGGAAUUUCCGGUGUAGCGGUGAAUGCGUAGAUAUCGGAAGGAACACCUGUGGCGAAAGCGGCUCACUGGACCACAACUGACGCUGAUGCACGAAAGCUA